GUCUAUGGCCAUACCACCCUGAAUGUGCCUGAUCUUGUCUAAUCUCAGAAGCUAAGCAGGGUCGGGCCUGGUUAGUACUUGGAUGAGAGAUCACCUAGGAAGAUCAGGUGCUGUAGGCG
rnacentral:rRNA from 1 species